ACUAAUGAUGUGUUUGGUUCGGUUUCAGUGCAAAGGUAUCGGCAGUCCGUGUUCACCAACAGAUGGAUGCUGCCAUUUUGUUAUUAACAGGUGCCUGGAUAAUGUCUGCGUUAAUAUAAUGCCUCCACAAGUGAGAAGGUAGAUAGACGGACCUUCCCAGAAUACAAACGGACUAAUGUCACCUGCUACCAAUGAGUAUUGGAUGCUGGAUGUAGCCAAAUAGUAACAACAACAGGGUGCGUCUGCCUACUGUCCGAUUCUGGGAUGUCAACGUAUUUCUCGAUUGCUCUGUUUGUUCAAGAAAUUCAACGAGAAAUAAAAUUCUACUAAAAGCAAA